rnacentral:tRNA from 1 species
GCCGGGGUCCCAUAGCCAGGUAGUGGGUCGGCCUCGAGAGCCGAUGCCCCUUCGCGGGGCGCGUGGGUUCAAAUCCCACCCCCGGCG